rnacentral:rRNA from 1 species
AUUGAAACGCUGGCGGCGGGCCUAACACAUGCAAGUCGAACGGUAGCACAGAGAGCUUGCUCUCGGGUGACGAGUGGCGGACGGGUGAGUAAUGUCUGGGAAACUGCCCGAUGGAGGGGGAUAACUACUGGAAACGGUAGCUAAUACCGCAUAACGUCUUCGGACCAAAGUGGGGGACCUUCGGGCCUCACACCAUCGGAUGUGCCCAGAUGGGAUUAGCUAGUAGGUGGGGUAACGGCUCACCUAGGCGACGAUCCCUAGCUGGUCUGAGAGGAUGACCAGCCACACUGGAACUGAGACACGGUCCAGACUCCUACGGGAGGCAGCAGUGGGGAAUAUUGCACAAUGGGCGCAAGCCUGAUGCAGCCAUGCCGCGUGUAUGAAGAAGGCCUUCGGGUUGUAAAGUACUUUCAGUGGGGAGGAAGGCGAUGAAGUUAAUAACUUCGUCGAUUGACGUUACCCGCAGAAGAAGCACCGGCUAACUCCGUGCCAGCAGCCGCGGUAAUACGGAGGGUGCAAGCGUUAAUCGGAAUUACUGGGCGUAAAGCGCACGCAGGCGGUCUGUCAAGUCGGAUGUGAAAUCCCCGGGCUCAACCUGGGAACUGCAUUCNAAACUGGCAGGCUAGAGUCUUGUAGAGGGGGGUAGAAUUCCAGGGUGUAGCGGUGAAUUGCGUAGAGAUCUGGAGGAAUACCCGGUGGCGAAGGCGGCCCCCUGGACNUGA